ACUACUGUCUGAAGCACUCCACUAAGUGC
rnacentral:piRNA from 1 species